CUUGAACGCUUCAGUUUAUGCGAAACUAUUUCACUUGACUGUACUGAGUUUUCAUGAGUUUGUACAGCAUCAGCUGAAAUGGAGCCCUUGGAACAGGGCUAAACAAUACAGUUGCGCUAAUAAUGAAGAAUCUGUGAUCAGCCAUUGACAUUGUUGAAUGGGAGGUUGUUAUGCACUUCAUGCCCAUUAAGAAGACAGUAAACUGUUGAUUAUGAGCAUUCCGUAGUACACAUUUUUCUUACUAUACAGUGUCAAAGGCCAUAUGCGUGGUUUUUCUGCUCAAUCUGCGAAGGCAUUCACAAUUGUUUCACUCAGAUACUGGUAUUCCAAAAGCAGCAGAAGUUAACCGAAAGCAGACAAUCCUAAUUGAAGUAGGCACCACUUCUGACCAGCACAGUUAUUGACACACAAGAAUGCCAAAGAGACUGCGGAGGAAAUCUUAAAUACUGAGUGCAGCCUGGACAGAUUAAAUGAUCUUACUACCAUUUGUG
ensembl:lncRNA